rnacentral:sRNA from 1 species
GGAUGAAAGAAAACAAGUGACAUGAUGACUGGAACCGCCACCACUGAAUUUUCUAAACUUUAAGAAAAGGCAAGAAAAUUGCUUUUAGGAGAAGAGAAGUUGAGAAUAUGCCCCAGUGAAUCCUCCCCACCUGCAAUUAUGAGGUUUCCCCAUGCCCUCUUUUGGACUUGAUGGGGGUCAUUUGGGACAAUAAGGCCUGAUAACUCCUUGGACUUAGGAAGCGAGAGAGCAGGAAUCAAGAAAAGCUUUUGUGUUUUUUGGUUUGUGUAGAAAAUAUGAUAGAUUAAGAUAAAAUUUUUCAAAAUAGGCCCAAUGAAGAAGAGCAGAUUCAAGGAGUAAAGCUUUGGUAGGCAGCCUGAAAUUGCUCAUCAAGGAAAAAGACCAGACUCGGAUUUUAAAUGGCUUCUUCUGAAUGAAGCAAUUAAUGCUAAAAGGAACAUGUUGUCUUCUCAGCAUUUAUAAGGAUUAUUAAUGAGGAUGGCCUGUGCAAAAAGACACCCAGAGAUUUCAUGCUGUUGAUUCACAGAAAGCCUGUUACUGUUCACUCCGUAGAGUCCUCAGAGUCUGGAUCAU